rnacentral:rRNA from 1 species
GACGAACGCUGGCGGCGUGCCUAACACAUGCAAGUCGAGCGGGGACUUGAUCAUGAAGUUUUCGGAUGGAUUGGUCAAGUUCUAGCGGCGGACGGGUGAGUAACGCGUGAGCAACCUGCCUUCUACUGGGGAAUAACGCAGCGAAAGUUGUGCUAAUACCGCAUGAGACCACAGUGCCACAUGACACAGGGGUCAAAGAUUUAUCGGUAGAAGAUGGGCUCGCGUCUGAUUAGCUAGUUGGUGAGGUAACGGCCCACCAAGGCGACGAUCAGUAGCCGACCUGAGAGGGUGAUCGGCCACAUUGGAACUGAGACACGGUCCAAACUCCUACGGGAGGCAGCAGUGGGGAAUAUUGGGCAAUGGGCGCAAGCCUGACCCAGCAACGCCGCGUGAGGGAAGAAGGUUUUCGGAUUGUAAACCUCUUUUAAGAGGGACGAUAAUGACGGUACCUCUUGAAUAAGCCACGGCUAACUACGUG